rnacentral:lncRNA from 1 species
UCUUAAGUAACUGCUCUAAGAGGGGCUUCAGAGGCCUAUCUGCCUAUUACCAGGUUUUGGCUGGAAGAAAAAGUAAAUUCUGGGAGCAUUGAGAUUUCUCAGGAAGGCACUUCAAAGGGGGCUGGAGUCAUCCUAGGCCCAUGGCUUGAGGCUGAGGGAAGCAUGCUAGAGUUUAACAAGUCUCUUAGUGUAAGAUUUGGAAGGAAUAUUAUGUGCUGAGAGUUCUGCUGUUCUCAGGACACAGCCAUUUAAACACAGCCUGUCUCUGCAGGUGUCACUCUUCCAGUGGAGUUUGGACCAGUUCAGGGCAGUUGAUCAUUGCAUCUCUUAACAUAACUGAAAAACAAUUCUGAGAAACAGGUUUCACAAAUUCAGUUCCAAAAAGGAGGUACAAAGUGUAACUCGACAGGUGGAUAAAGUUUAGACCAGUGCCCCCAACUGGUUACCAAUAGGAGUCUACCAAGCAGUUACCCCGGGAGCCUCAUGGAGAACCACGUCUGCUACAAACCUACUGAAGCGCAGACAGAGUGUCCUUUACUAAUCUGUGUUUUUCAUCUCUCUUUUUCAUGUUUCUUCCAUCCCUCUUUUGCUCUCUCUCUUCCUUUCUUACAUGAAUAUAAUGAUUGCAAAUAUGUUAUACCAUUUCUCUCCAUCUUUCUCCUCUUGGGGAUUUCAAUCCAGACUGUUUUUAUUCAUUUUACAUUUUAGGUGAAGAUUUCUUGACUCCCUUGUUAUCUCUUUUGCUCCUUCAGUGAAUCUUUAUCAAGUGCUGGCUGUGUCCCAGGCAGUGUUCUAGGGCAGAUGAUGUGGGAUAUAUUGGGUUAUCAGAGAAGAUCUCUUUUAUUAUGUGUCAUUUGAGUAGGGGCCAGAAUAACAAGAAUGAACCAGUCAUAUGAUGAUCCUGGAAAGGAAAGUAAGGGCUUAGGUGCUGGGCCAAGGGGUUGAUUGGAAUGUUUCAGAAAAAAAAAAGGAAAGAAGGCAGAACUGGGAAAUUCGUCAGGUGCAGAUCGUGUAAGUGCUUAUGCACCAGUGUAUGAGUCCGCAAGAGCUGUCGUAACACAAUACCACAGACUGGAUGGCUUAAACAACAGAAAUUUAUUUCUCACAGUUCUGGAGGCUGGAAGUCUAAGAUCAAGGUGUCGGCAGGUUUGGUUUCUCGUGAGGCCUCUCUCCUCGGCUUGCAGAUGGCCGCCUUCUUGAUGUGUCCUCUCAUGGCCUGUUCUCUGGGCAUACACAUCCCUGGUUUCUCUUCUUAUAGGGACAUCAGUCAUAUUGCAUUAGGGUCCCACCCUUAUGACCUCCUUUAACCUUAAUUACAUCUUUAAAGGCCCUAUCUUCAAAUAUAGCCACAUUCUAAAGUAUUGGGAGUUACAGUUUCAACAUAGGAAUUCAGGGAGAACAUAAUUCAGUUCAUAACCACCAGGAUUAAGGAGUUGGGUUGAAUUCUAAGUGUCAUGGGAGGCCAUGGUAGGAUUUCAUAUGGGGUGAGUGGCUCUUCCAUGUGAUUUGUUCAUCUUAUACUCUGAGUUGGAGCUUGGAGGUGAGUAUUACUGUCACCAGACAUGAACCCUAACCUGCUUCUCUUGUCCUGCUUAAAAAUAUAACUUUUAUGUUUGACCUAAUUCUCUUGUCUUCCUGAAAG